GACGAACGCUGGCGGCGUGCCUAACACAUGCAAGUCGAACGGAAAGGCCCUGCGUUUGUGCGGUGCUCGAGUGGCGAACGGGUGAGUAACACGUGAGUAACCUGCCCUUGACUUUGGGGUAACUUCAGGAAACUGGGGCUAAUACCGGAUAGGAUCCCCCGCUCCAUGGUGGGGGUUGGAAAGUUUCGCCGGUUGGGGAUGGACUCGCGGCUGACCAGCUUGUUGGUGGGGUAGUGGCUUACCAAGGCUUGGACGGGUAGCCGGCCUGGGAGGGUGACAGGCCCCAUAGGGCUAGGGAUAGGGCCAGGACGCAUUCGGGGGGAAGGAGUGGGAACUAUAGCACGAUGGGCGGAGGCCUGAUGCAGCAACGCCGGGUGCGAGAUGACGGCCUUCGGGUUGGAAACCGCUUUCGCCUGUAACGAAGCGUGAGUGAGGGUAAUGGAGAAAGAGGCACCGCUUACCUACGU
rnacentral:rRNA from 1 species